UUUGGAUUAUAAUCAGUACAAUCAAUGUACAGUAGAGAACACAGCAAAAUUGUAUUGGGAGCAAUUUAGGGGCGGUUUCCCGGACAGGGAUUAGACUAGUCCUAGACUAAAAUAAAUGUAAGAGCUGUACAAACUAAAAAAAAAAUGCAUUGACAUAUCUUAAAAUACAUCAGUGCUCUUGGUUUUGCCUUAAAAUGCACACAAGUAAUGUUUUUAGUAAGGUAUGUUUGUUUAUUUUUUCCUAAUUAGGCUUAAUCUUGGUUUAAGAAAACCCCUGUCCGGGAAAACACCACUUUGUUUGUCAUUUAGUGUUUUGCGUUCAUAUUCUUAACUUUGGACAUAGAUUUAUUAAUAUAUUAUUAAAAUGAUAAGAUCAUUAAUGCAUUGUCGGUAAACCAUGCUUUCAAUGAAACUGGCUUUAAAAACAAUAACUCGUUUUAGUCAUUUGUGCAUUGCAUGUCGUUACCACUAAUGAGCACAAGAUGGCAGAUGACUUCUUCGCCACUAUCAUUUUGAGUCGUAUUUUAAAGGAAGAUUUACAAGCAAUAGCAUGCAAUGAUUUUACUAUAGCCAACUUAUUAAAUGAAGAUCCAAAAUCAGGAAGUCAAAUGCAGUUUGACAUUUAUUAAGAAUAGUGUGUUAUAUAACAGGAUAUAGAAGAGGCAGAUCAUUAUUUUCACACUCCAUCACAGCAGGUGGCGGUAUGCACCUUUAAAGUUGGUUCGUAACCCGCCAUUAAACCAAAAGAAGAAGAUGAAGAUUGUAACGUCAGCUCAUCGUAAGCAUUAGAUUAUUCACCCAGUGUUUAUUCACAAGAUUGACCGAAGCUUAUUUAAAUGACCAAAUUAUGAACAAUGACCCACCCUGAGGCUGGGAGAGUGUGCCUGAUGAGAGAAUGCGUACUUGAACCAGUUAUAGGACUUAAUAUAUUCAAGAAGACCAAGCGAUCUUUAUAGGACUACAUGCAAAGCAAUGUACUCCAGACCGCACAACUGGACAUACAAAUUGUGCCCUGAUGCCAUCUGCCCCGUUCUCCCAGCCUCAUCUUCCCUCUCUAUGCCUAGCUUCACAUCGGUUGGCUCUUCUUUGGCUCUCUUCAUCCCGUCUGCCUGCCUCGCUGCUCUCCCUGAUAACAUUUCCUGACUGAUGCCUUGCACUCUGACUCUUUCUGCAAGGUGCUAUUCUCAGCAGUGACUCAAUUUAGUGCCACCCUGCUGUUUGGUGAGUCUCUGC